rnacentral:misc_RNA from 1 species
GAUGAAGAACGUAGCGAAAUGCGAUAAGUAGUGUGAAUUGCAGAAUUCAGUGAAUCAUCGAAUCUUUGAACGCACAUUGCGCCCCUUGGUAUUCCGAGGGGCAUGCCUGUUCGAGCGUCAUAUUAACCACUCCCGCUUGCGGGGUCUUGGGCUUCGCCUCCGGGCGGGCCUUAAAAUCAGUGGCGGUGCCGUCGGGCUCUACGCGUAGUAAAUUUUCUCGCGAUAGGGUCCCGGUGGAUGCUUGCCAACAACCCCCAACUUCUUAAGGUUGACCUCGGAUCAGGUAGGGAUACCCGCUGAACUUAAGCAUAUCAAUAAGCGGAGGC